rnacentral:rRNA from 1 species
AGCGAACGCUGGCGGCAGGCUUAACACAUGCAAGUCGAGCGGGCACUUUCUGCUGUCAUCGGCUGACGGGUGAGUAACGCGUUGGAACGUGCCCUCUUGUUCUGAAUAACUCAUGGAAACUUGAGCUAAUACCGGAUACUCCCUCCUGGUGAAAGGCUUGCGGCCGGGGUAUCGGCGCGCGACUGUUUAGCUAGUUGGUGGGGUAACGGCUCACCAAGGCGACGAUCAGGAGCUGGUCUGAGAGGAUGCUCAGCCACACUGGGACUGAGACACGGCCCAGACUCGGACGCGAAGGAGCGGUGGGGAAUAUUAGAGGAGGAGCGCUAGCCUGAUACAGCCAUGCGGGGUGAGUGAUGAAGGCGUUAGGGUUGUAAAGCUCUUUUAUCCGGGACGAUAAUGACGGUACCGGAGGAAUAAGCACCGGCUAACUUCGUG